UCUGCUUCUCUUAAAAGUAUUCGUAUUCAUGCCUGUGAACUCACUUUAUGGUUCUUGGGCAUUGACAAGACGGGGAGCAGAAAGCAAUUGUUCCUCUCGCUAUCCAGCGCAGAAUUUCAUGAUGCAACUGGACGUCGAGGAACGACAAUU